AUCGAAUUGUUCUUAAUUUAUUGGAAAUAUGGAUUAUUGAUAGUUGAAGUUACAGCAGAGAGAGAUAGAGUUUGACAGUAUGCGUGUUUGAAGAAGAUAAUGCUUUUAUUGGUACAUUCAAUUCCACGAACUGAGUGUUGAUUUCCUCGAUUUCAUUGACUUGAUGAUUCAUUCUCUGAUUUAUUCUAAUGAUCAAUCAACUUAUUGAUUUACUGAUUGAUUGGACAUGUCAUGGAGCUUAAUAUAGAUGUAGAAGUAACUUAGACGUCAUACAGUUAAAUUCAGUAUUAUUGGGGUUGUUCUAGUGCAAGUUAUCAUGUGUUUCGGGAUUUUCCAAGAUUUGAUGCAUCCUGGGUAAUAGUAGCCAAAAUACCGCCAUAUUCAAUUCGAAGAGGAAUAUUGACAAAAAAAGACGAAGCAUUUUCUACUUACAUAAGAAGCAAUAGUUAUUUAUGUUAAAACGUACCAUACACACUUUUCCACACAGAUAUUUCUCAAAAAAAAAAAUGUCGGCAAUGUAAACAGUAGUUCAUGGAUAUCGCCGAGGUUUAACGAGAGUGCGAGAAUCGGGGGUUAGUGGGAAAACACGAUUAUCACCGAAGCGCACUGUGGAUCUGAAUCUGACUAUCAACUAUUUUCUGAGCUUCCUAUCCAUUGUAUAUAAAUAUCUGUGGACAUGUAAGACGAAUAUAUGUGAACUGUAAGAUGUUGAAAUGUGCCAUGUUGUUUGUUUAGAUGAGAAAUACACAAUUUUGGAAGAAACUUUUUGUUUGAAUGAUAAAGGUAUAAACACUAUUUGUAAAUGAACAUCAGGCUACCAUUUUCA